UGUCAUCAUCCAGGCAGCUGAGCUCCUAGAGGGAGGUCACCCUGCUGAUUUCAUGGACUUGUCAAUCGGCUGUAGGAGACUCAAGUUUAAAUUCUGCAAGCUGAUGGCAGACCUGACGUCAUGUAUUCACCUUAACAGAAAUGCUGUGAUUAGAAUGUUAAAUCAAAUGUAUCCAGAAAUGAAGACUUGUCUUACGAAACCAGGACUGCAUCCAGAAGCGGAAAAAACAACUUUGGGGGAUGGUUUAAUAAUUGCCUGUGGUAGGACUUGUCUCACAUUCAUUAAAAAGUCUAGGUAA